GAGCGGCGAACGGGUGAGUAACACGUGAGUAAUCUGCCCUUCACUCUGGGAUAAGCUUCGGAAACGGGGUCUAAUACCGGAUACGACAUUCAACCGCAUGGUUUGGGUGUGGAAACUUUUGUGGGUGGGGGAUGUGCUCGCGGCCUAUCAGCUUGUUGGUGGGGUAAUGGCCUACCAAGGCUUCGACGGGUAGCCGGCCUGAGAGGGUGACCGGCCACACUGGGACUGAGACACGGCCCAGACUCCUACGGGAGGCAGCAGUGGGGAAUAUUGGACAAUGGGCGGAAGCCUGAUCCAGCAACGCCGCGUGAGGGAUGACGGCCUUCGGGUUGUAAACCUCUUUCAGUAUUGACGAAGCGCCCGUGUGGGUGGUGACGGUAGGUACAGAAGAAGCACCGGCCAACUACGUGCCAGCAGCCGCGGUAAUACGUAGGGUGCGAGCGUUGUCCGGAAUUAUUGGGCGUAAAGGGCUCGUAGGCGGUUUGUCGCGUCGGGAGUGAAAACACUGGGCUUGACCGAGUGCUUGCUUCCGAUA
rnacentral:rRNA from 1 species